CCUCGCGCGGUCCUUGGGGCUUUACGCAGCUCCCGCUGCCUGCGAGAGGCUCGGGAAAACAAAGGCUUUCUGCCUUGCCCGGUCCUCCCCAGAGCAACGCCCUAGCCACCCCGUAGCCGUGCGUUCUGAACGGGGUUGGAGCCCGCCGCUGCUCCGACUCCUGCCACCCUUCCUGCGCGCAUCUGUCCCCCUGGCAGCCUGCACCCCAGUUGUCUCUGCAUCCUGGCGUUGAGGACAAUGCCUGGCACCCAGCGGGCCAUGGACAGCUGCAAGUGGAGCAGGAGGGGCUGGCAGGGCCCCAGGACCUUGGCUUCAAGGAGGCCGGCUCGGAGCCGGGCGGCUGGUUCAGCUCUGCCAGGCUGACACUACACCAGGCUCAGUUUACCCACCAGGAAAGUGGGCGUCACGACAGACGGCUUCUGCUGCGCUUGCAGCGAGCGUGAAGCGAGGUGGCAGACACAUCUGGAGCAGAUGUGGUGCAAAGUGGUGGUGACAGCAGCUGGGGGCUCACGCUGCCUGGAAGCAACGCUACAGUGCCUCCGUGGCACGAGGACAACCGAAGUGGGGAGCAGAGGGUGGCUAGGAGAGACGCCGCGUGGUGGCAUCCCUGAGGGUGUUGGCCGUGGGCUGGGUCUUGAAGGCCGGGGGACCCAGGACUGGAAAGGGGCUAUCGGGGAGGUCCUCGGGCAGCCGGGGCUUGUUCACGGCCCUCUGAGGCUGACGCCCAUCACGGUGUUUCUGCAGGUGUUUCUGGUCAAGUUUAGCCUGCUGAGUCCCAGUCCAGGUCUUCCCAUGGGCUGCAGAAAAACCAGCUGAGAAAACAGAAAAUCCCCGUUCUCUCCAGCUGCAGGGAAGACAGGCGACACCAGAUCCCAUUUGCACUGUGUCGGCGAGAUUACUCCGUGCCCUGCAGCGCCCUGGGCCUGGGGGACGGCAAUAUUUUACCUGGGAAUCCGCCUUUGAAACAUUGUAUGGAGACAACGCCAAAGACAGAGCCACAAUUUGACCCCUGGAUUCUGAGGCAGUGGGGACAAAUGCCUGGCAGUGGAAUUAAUUUAUCUUGAGAAAUAAUAGAGCUCUGACUUUUACUUCCGUGACUUCAAAUCCUCCUGACUGACUCUCUCCCAGCCCUGAGCUGCUGCUGGGAAGGAGGAGCAGAGGGGACUGUGCUGAAGGAUGCUGGGGUGUGCUGUGUGACCUUCCGUGGGCUCUGACCCUCUCUGGGCCGCAGGUACCUAACACAGAAUAUGCUACUGAAGAUAAUAACACUCACAUCGUGCUUCUGUAGUUGACACUGGUCAGGACCUGCUGCGAGCCAGGCGUCCUGCUGGGCCCUUAAUGCUGCCAUGAAUCCACGAGAGACCAGCACCUCAGCAAGUCAUUUGGUUGGUGCUGCACUUCUGGAAGCCCUACUGUGUGCAGUUAGGUUAGGCACUGGGUGUCCCCGCUGACCCAGAAGGCAAGGAGCUGAGAAUCCCAGACUGCUUUUCUAGGACAGAUGGAAUACUGUGUGAACAGGGCCACCCGGAGGAAGAGGCUGCAGGCUUUGGAGAAAGUGACAGAGUGGAAGAGAGCAGCCCCUCUGAGGUGUUGACAUUGAAGCAAACAUGGCCUCAGGGCAGAGCAGCUAUGCCGAUAUCAAAGAUUGAGAAAGACCUGCAGGUGGCAGAAUAGCACGUGCAAAGGUCCUGCGGUAGGUGGAGCAGAUGGCCAGAUCUGUCUGCGCCAUGCACUGUUCUCGUGCCAGGCCCUGGGGCCUGAUCCAGGACAGCCUGAGCUGCGAACUGGUCAGGGUCCACCGUGCCUGCUGGGAUGUGGUGCAUCAGCUCCUUCCCCUGCCUUGCUCCCACCCACGGGACCUCCCUUGGCCUCCCUGAUAAGCCACUCGGCCUGA